rnacentral:rRNA from 1 species
GUACCCGAAACCGACACAGGUGGGGUGGUAGAGAAUACCGAGGGGCGCGAGGUAACUCUCUCUGAGGAACUCGGCAAAAUGGCCCCGUAACUUCGGGAGAAGGGGUGCCACCGCAAGGUGGUCGCAGUGAAGAGGCCCAGGCGACUGUUUACCAAAAACACAGGUCUCCGCUAAGUCGCAAGACGAUGUAUGGGGGCUGACGCCUGCCCAGUGCCGGAAGGUUAAGGAAGUUGGUCAGCGAAAGCGAAGCUAGCGACUGAAGCCCCGGUGAACGGCGGCCGUAACUAUAACGGUCCUAAGGUAGCGAAAUUCCUUGUCGGGUAAGUUCCGACCCGCACGAAAGGCGUAACGAUCUGGGCGCUGUCUCGGAGAGAGGCUCGGCGAAAUAGAAUUGUCUGUGAAGAUGCGGACUACGUGCACCCGGACAGAAAGACCCUAUGAAGCUUUACUGUAGCUUGGUAUUGUGCCCGGGCUCUGAAUGCGCAGGAUAGGUGGGAGGCUUUGAUCCAUGGCUUGCGGGUCAUGGUGAGCCAACGGUGAGAUACCACUCCUUCAGAGCUAGGGUUCUAACGGUCACCCGUUAUCCGGGGACCGGACAGUAUCUGGUGGGCAGUUUGACUGGGGCGGUCGCCUCCUAAAAGGUAACGGAGGCGCGCAAAGGUUUGCUCAGGCUGGUUGGAAAUCAGCCGACGAGUGUAAAAGCAGAAGCAAGCUUGACUGUGAGACCAACAAGUCGAACAGGGACGAAAGUCGGCUUUAGUGAUCCGACGGUUCUGAGUGGAAGGGCCGUCGCUCAACGGAUAAAAGUUACUCUAAGGAUAACAGGCUGAUCUCCCCCAAGAGUUCACAUCGACGGGGAGGUUUGGCACCUCGAUGUCGGCUCAUCGCAACCUGGGGCUGAAGUCGGUCCCAAGGGUUGGGCUGUUCGCCCAUUAAAGCGGUACGCGAGCUGGGUUCAGAACGUCGUGAGACAGUUCGGUCCAUAUCCGGUGCAUGCGCAGGAAUAUUGAGAGGAGUUCUCCCUAGUACGAGAGGACCGGGAGGAACGCACCUCUGGUGUACCAGUUAUUGUGCCAACGGUAAACGCUGGGUAGCCAUGUGCGGAGAGGAUAACCGCUGAAAGCAUCUAAGUGGGAAGCCCACCUCAAGAUGAGUAUUCCCAUGGCAUAAGCCAGUAAGGUCACGGGAAGAACACCCGUUGAUAGGCUCUACGUGGAAGCGCAGUAAUGCGUGAAGCGGAGGAGUACUAAUAGACCGAGGGCUUGAC